CGAACGGUAGCACAGAGAGCUUGCUCUCGGGUGACGAGUGGCGGACGGGUGAGUAAUGUCUGGGAAACUGCCUGAUGGAGGGGGAUAACUACUGGAAACGGUGGCUAAUACCGCAUAACGUCGCAAGACCAAAGAGGGGGACCUUCGGGCCUCUUGCCAUCAGAUGUGCCCAGAUGGGAUUAGCUUGUUGGUGAGGUAACGGCUCACCAAGGCGACGAUCCCUAGCUGGUCUGAGAGGAUGACCAGCCACACUGGAACUGAGACACGGUCCAGACUCCUACGGGAGGCAGCAGUGGGGAAUAUUGCACAAUGGGCGCAAGCCUGAUGCAGCCAUGCCGCGUGUAUGAAGAAGGCCUUC
rnacentral:rRNA from 1 species